AUUGAACGCUGGCAGCAGGCUUAACACAUGCAAGUCGAGCGAAGCCUUCGGGCUUAGCGGCGGACGGGUGAGUAACGCGUGGGAACGUGCCCUUUGCUACGGAAUAGCCCCGGGAAACUGGGAGUAAUACCGUAUGUGCCCUUUGGGGGAAAGAUUUAUCGGCAAAGGAUCGGCCCGCGUUGGAUUAGGUAGUUGGUGGGGUAAUGGCCUACCAAGCCGACGAUCCAUAGCUGGUUUGAGAGGAUGAUCAGCCACACUGGGACUGAGACACGGCCCAGACUCCUACGGGAGGCAGCAGUGGGGAAUCUUAGACAAUGGGCGCAAGCCUGAUCUAGCCAUGCCGCGUGAUCGAUGAAGGCCUUAGGGUUGUAAAGAUCUUUCAGGUGGGAAGAUAAUGACUGUACCACCAGAAGAAGCCCCGGCUAACUCCGUGCCAGCCGCCGCAGUAAGAC
rnacentral:rRNA from 1 species